rnacentral:rRNA from 1 species
GGUUAAGCGACUAAGCGUACACGGUGGAUGCCCUGGCAGUCAGAGGCGAUGAAGGACGUGCUAAUAUGCGAAAAGCGCCGGCGAGGUGAUAUGAACCUUUGACCCGGCGAUGUCCGAAUGGGGAAACCCAGUGCAAUCCGUUGCACUAUCGUUAACUGAAUACAUAGGUUAACGAGGCGAACCGGGGGAACUGAAACAUCUAAGUACCCCGAGGAAAAGAAAUCAACCGAGAUUCCCCCAGUAGCGGCGAGCGAACGGGGAGCAGCCCGGAGUCUGAAUCAGCUUGUGUGUUAGUGGAACGGUCUGGAAAGUCCGACGGUACAGGGUGAUAGUCCCGUACACGAAAGCACACAUGCUGUGAACUCGAAGAGUAGGGCGGGACACGUGGUAUCCUGUCUGAAUAUGGGGGGACCAUCCUCCAAGGCUAAAUACUCCUGACUGACCGAUAGUGAACCAGUACCGUGAGGGAAAGGCGAAAAGAACCCCGGCGAGGGGAGUGAAAAAGAACCUGAAACCGUGUACGUACAAGCAGUGGGAGCCUCUUUAUGGGGUGACUGCGUACCUUUUGUAUAAUGGGUCAGCGACUUAUAUUCUGUAGCAAGGUUAACCGUAUAGGGGAGCCGAAGGGAAACCGAGUCUUAACUGGGCGUUAAGUUGCAGGGUAUAGACCCGAAACCCGGUGAUCUAGCCAUGGGCAGGUUGAAGGUUGGGUAACACUAACUGGAGGACCGAACCGACUAAUGUUGAAAAAUUAGCGGAUGACCUGUGGCUGGGGGUGAAAGGCCAAUCAAACCGGGAGAUAGCUGGUUCUCCCCGAAAGCUAUUUAGGUAGCGCCUCGUGAACUCAUCUUCGGGGGUAGAGCACUGUUUCGGCUAGGGGGCCAUCCCGGCUUACCAACCCGAUGCAAACUACGAAUACCGAAGAAUGUUAUCACGGGAGACACACGGCGGGUGCUAACGUCCGUCGUGAAGAGGGAAACAACCCAGACCGCCAGCUAAGGUCCCAAAGUCAUGGUUAAGUGGGAAACGAUGUGGGAAGGCACAGACAGCCAGGAUGUUGGCUUAGAAGCAGCCAUCAUUUAAAGAAAGCGUAAUAGCUCACUGGUCGAGUCGGCCUGCGCGGAAGAUGUAACGGGGCUAAACCAUGCACCGAAGCUGCGGCAGCGACGCUUAUGCGUUGUUGGGUAGGGGAGCGUUCUGUAAGCCGUUGAAGGUGUCCUGUGAGGGGUGCUGGAGGUAUCAGAAGUGCGAAUGCUGACAUAAGUAACGAUAAAGCGGGUGAAAAGCCCGCUCGCCGGAAGACCAAGGGUUCCUGUCCAACGUUAAUCGGGGCAGGGUGAGUCGACCCCUAAGGCGAGGCCGAAAGGCGUAGUCGAUGGGAAACAGGUUAAUAUUCCUGUACUUGGUGUUACUGCGAAGGGGGGACGGAGAAGGCUAUGUCAGCCGGGCGACGGUUGUCCCGGUUUAAGCAUGUAGGCGGAGGUUCCAGGUAAAUCCGGUACCUUAUUAACGCUGAGGUGUGAUGACGAGGCACUACGGUGCUGAAGUGAUAAAUGCCCUGCUUCCAGGAAAAGCCUCUAAGCAUCAGGUAACACGAAAUCGUACCCCAAACCGACACAGGUGGUCAGGUAGAGAAUACCAAGGCGCUUGAGAGAACUCGGGUGAAGGAACUAGGCAAAAUGGUGCCGUAACUUCGGGAGAAGGCACGCUGAUAUGUAGGUGAAGUCCCUGCGGACGGAGCUGAAAUCAGUCGAAGAUACCAGCUGGCUGCAACUGUUUAUUAAAAACACAGCACUGUGCAAACACGAAAGUGGACGUAUACGGUGUGACGCCUGCCCGGUGCCGGAAGGUUAAUUGAUGGGGUUAGCGGCAACGCGAAGCUCUUGAUCGAAGCCCCGGUAAACGGCGGCCGUAACUAUAACGGUCCUAAGGUAGCGAAAUUCCUUGUCGGGUAAGUUCCGACCUGCACGAAUGGCGUAAUGAUGGCCAGGCUGUCUCCACCCGAGACUCAGUGAAAUUGAACUCGCUGUGAAGAUGCAGUGUACCCGCGGCAAGACGGAAAGACCCCGUGAACCUUUACUAUAGCUUGACACUGAACACUGGUCCUUGAUGUGUAGGAUAGGUGGGAGGCUUUGAAGCGUGGACGCCAGUCUGCGUGGAGCCAACCUUGAAAUACCACCCUUUAAUGGCUGGUGUUCUAACGUAGACCCGUAAUCCGGGUUGCGGACAGUGUCUGGUGGGUAGUUUGACUGGGGCGGUCUCCUCCCAAAGAGUAACGGAGGAGCACGAAGGUUGGCUAAUCCUGGUCGGACAUCAGGAGGUUAGUGCAAUGGCAUAAGCCAGCUUGACUGCGAGCGUGACGGCGCGAGCAGGUGCGAAAGCAGGUCAUAGUGAUCCGGUGGUUCUGAAUGGAAGGGCCAUCGCUCAACGGAUAAAAGGUACUCCGGGGAUAACAGGCUGAUACCGCCCAAGAGUUCAUAUCGACGGCGGUGUUUGGCACCUCGAUGUCGGCUCAUCACAUCCUGGGGCUGAAGUAGGUCCCAAGGGUAUGGCUGUUCGCCAUUUAAAGUGGUACGCGAGCUGGGUUUAGAACGUCGUGAGACAGUUCGGUCCCUAUCUGCCGUGGGCGCUGGAGAAUUGAGGGGGGCUGCUCCUAGUACGAGAGGACCGGAGUGGACGCAUCACUGGUGUUCGGGUUGUCAUGCCAAUGGCACUGCCCGGUAGCUAAAUGCGGAAAAGAUAAGUGCUGAAAGCAUCUAAGCACGAAACUUGCCCCGAGAUGAGUUCUCCCUGAGACUUUAAGUCUCCUGAAGGAACGUUGAAGACGACGACGUUGAUAGGUCGGGUGUGUAAGCGCAGCGAUGCGUUGAGCUAACCGAUACUAAUGAACCGUGAGGCUUAACCUU